UACAGAGGUCUCAAGCGUUGUUCGGAUUCAUUGGGCGUAAAGGGUGCGUAGGCGGCGCGGUAAGUCGGGUGUGAAAUCUUGGAGCUUAACUCCGAAACUGCAUUCGAUACUGCCGUGCUUGAGGACUGGAGAGGAGACUGGAAUUUACGGUGUAGCGGUGAAAUGCGUAGAUAUCGGGAAGAGCACCCGUGGCUAAGGCGGCUCUCUAGUACGGUACUGACGCUGAAGACGCGAAAAGCGUGGGGGAGCGAACAGG
rnacentral:rRNA from 1 species